UCCUGCGCCAGCCCGGAGCGUCCUUGUGUCCUCCCCUCCGCCCUGCGCUUCUCCUCCCGGCCGCCCGCCCGGCCGCCUCUUCCGCUGCUUCCUCUUCUCGGGCCGAGCCUGCUGCGCUUUUCUGCUCUUUCUGCUCUUUCUGUUCUUUUUCUGUUCUUUUCCUCCCCUUUCUGCCUCUUUUCUCCUCUUUUCCUCCUCUUUUCUCCUCUUCCGCUGCUUCCUCUUCUUCACCCGAGCCUGCUGCGCUUGCCCCCGCUUUUCUGCUCUUUUCUCCUCUUUUUCUGCUCUGUUUUCCUUCUUUUCCUCCCCUUUCUGCCUCUUUUCUCCUCUUCCGCUGCUUCCUCUUCUUCAGCCGAGCCUGCUGCGCUUUUCUCCUUUUUCUGCUCUUUCUGCUCUUUUUCUGUUCUUUUCCUCCCCUUUCUGCCUCUUUCCUCCUCUUUUCCUCCUCUUUUCUCCUCUUCCGCUGCUUCCUCCCCUUUCCCCGAGCGCCUGCUCUGCUUUUCUCCUCUUUUCACCCCUUUUCUCCUCUUUUCACCCCUUUUCACCCCUUUUCUCCUCUUUUCACCCCUUUUCUCCUCUUUUCACCCCUUUUCUCCUCUUUUCACCCCUUUUCUCCUCUUUUCACCCCUUUUCUCCUGUUUUCCUCCUUUUCUCCCUCUUCUCUCCUCUUCUGCUGCUUCCUCCCCUUCACCCGAGCACCUGCUCCACUUUUCUCCUCUUUUCACCUCUUUCCCCCUCUCUGCUGCCCCUCUUUUCCUCUUUUCUCCUCUUUCCUCCCCUUUUCCCCCACUUUUCUCCUUUUGUCCUCCCCUUUUCUCCUCUUCCGCUCCUUCCUCCCCUUUUCCCCUCUCAUCUGCUCUUUUCCCUUUUAUUCCUCUUUUUCUCCCCUUUUCCCCCUUUUUCUCCUCUCCCGCUCCUUCCUCCCCUUCCCCUCUCAUCUGCUCCUCUUUUCCCUCUUUUCUCCCCUUUUUCCUUUCCUCUUUUCUUUCAUUUUCUUUUCCCUCCUCUCAUUUCUUUUUCUUCUCUUUUUCUCCCUCCCUUUUUUCCUCCUCUUUUCCCUUCCCCUUUUUUAAUUCCUCUUUUCCCCAUUUUUUCCAUUCUCUUUUCCUCCCCCUGUUUUUCUUUCUUUUUCCUUUCUCCUUUUCCUCCUCUUUUCCCUUUUCCUCCUCCUUUUCCUCCUCCCCUCCCUCCUUUCUGCCCCUUUCCCAUUUCCCCGUUUUCUUCACUUUCUCCUUUUCCUCCUUCCCUUUUUUCCCUCCUUUCCCAAAUUCCUCCCUCUUUUUUCAUCGUUUCCAUUUUCAUUCCCAGAUUUCCCCUUCCCUGCUUUUCCCUUUCCAUCUUUCCCUUCCAAAAUCUUUUCCUUUUCCUCUUUUCCCUCUCCUUCCUUUUCUUUUUUGGUUUCAAUUUCUUUUUUUUUUCCUUCUUUUCUUUCUUUUCCUUCUUUCCCCCUUUCCUCUCCUUCAUUUUUUUUGUUUUGGUUUCAAUUUCCCCUUUUUUCCUUCUUUUCCUUCUUUUCCUUUCCCGCCCCAGCCCCGUUUCCGUGUCCCCAUCCCGAGUUUCUGGGCUGGGAAAAGGAAAAGGGAGAAGGGAAAAGAAAAGGGAGGAAGGAAAAGGGGGAAAAAGGAGAAGGGAAAAAAGGAGAGAGAAGGAGAGGGGAAAAGGGAGGAGGGAAAAGGGAAAGAGAGGAGGGAAAAGGAGAAGGAAAAGGGAAAGGGAGGAAGGGAGAAGAAGGAAAAGAAGGAAAGAAGGGCAAAGAAAAAAAGAAAAAGGGAAAAGGCCAAGGGAGGAGGGAGGAAGGCGAAGGGAGAAGAAAAGGGGAAGGGAGAAGGGAGGAAGGGAGAAUAAAAGAAGGAAGGAAGGGAAAAGAAAAGAAGGAAAGAAGGGCAGAGAAAAGAAGGAAAGAAAGGCAGAGAAAAGAAGGAAAGGAAAAUUAAAGAAGGAAAAAGGGCGAAGAAAAGAAGGAAAAAGGGAAAAUGAAAGAAAGAAGAAGGGCAGAGAAAAGAAGGGAAGCAGGAAAAGGCCAAGGGAUGCGGGAGGAAGGAGCAGGAGCGGGGCCGUGCCCAUCCCCAUCCAAUCCCCAUCCUCAUCCUCAUCCCCAUCCUCAUCCUCAUCCUCAUCCUCAUCCUCAUCCUCAUCCUCAUCCUCAUCCUCAUCCUCAUCCUCAUCCAAUCCCAUCCCAUCCCUAUCCCCAUCCCAUCCCCAUCCUCAUCCUCAUCCUCAUCCUCAUCCAAUCCCAUCCCCAUCCUCAU
rnacentral:lncRNA from 1 species